AACAAUCUUGCUUGUUCUUUCAUUGAUGUCUACAAAUGAAGGGAAAUUGAUACAAAUAACUGAAUGAAAUGAUAAUUGCCUACAUCCGAGCUUUGAUCGAAUAUGGCUAUCAUUAUAUUUACUAUCCUUUUACAAUUGCAAGAAUCGAAACAAAACGAAAGAAUUCAUAUGGCUCUACAGCUUUUUCGUCGAUAUCAAUGAAAGAACAAGCAAGAUUGUUUGGUUAACGGGCAAGAGAUCCAAAGCCAUUGACAAGCGCAUGAGCUCUGGGAUUAAAGGCCAGUCUCCCCAAUAUACCUUGUUUAUAUGGCAAGAAAGUUUUCUUUUUCAAAUCCUCUGAUGCUGCUUUAUUCUUCGUGUAAUGCAACUCGUGAGCCGACACUGGCCCCUUUCUCCUCGAUGCUGCCGACACUGAACCCGAGCUGUCUGUGGACCGGAAGCUCGUGUUCUUUGCAUCUUCGGGUUUCCUGAAGAAAGAUGGAUACUUGGUCCUCAAAGGAUCUUUAUCCGCUGCUCUUCCCUCAGAUGCGCUUCUGAACAGCAAGAAAUCCCUCAACCUCCACUUUCUAGAAGCACUCUUUGUAGAUGAGGAAGACGAAGAGGAAGAAGAAGAAGAAGAAGAAGA
rnacentral:misc_RNA from 1 species